CCACAUAACACAAAAAGAGAGGAGAAAAAGAAUAAGAUCAUUUUCUUGGUGUUAGACUAAGCAGGCAUAAAGUGAAGCAGGCAUCACUUAGGUUUAUUUAACACACUCUUCACACACACAGAACUGCACCAGUCUGGAUUUCAUCAGUUUCUCAAAAUCAUUUUGAUUGUCCUCUCUGCCUUAUCCCUCUACAACCAAACCAAAUCUCAUCUCCACACCAGGUAUAAAAGCAUUACCAUCAUCAUUGCAAUAUGUAUAUUCCCAUUCCACUCCCCUUGCAAUUUUCUUUCCAUCACCAGGUGUGAGAAGAAAAUCAUGCAGUAAAAAAAUUUCCCCACAUGCUCUGUUUCUCUGCUUUGAACCCUCAGCCACAACUGCCAGCAGGGGCACCUCAAGAGCUUUCAGGAAUUCAAUCAGUUCCUAGGAGGAACAAAACCAUGAGGAUGCUUCUAGGGCUGGGGUUCAGGAGUUUAGGAACCCCCACAACACAGGCUGGCCCUUUCCCCUUGUCUCUUAUUAUUGGCUCCUGGACAAUGGAGAUCAGAGGAUGAUCAAGAUGUAAAAAGCAGCAGAGACAAAAGUCAAGGUAAGCAAUGUAAACCUAAGCUGGAUAGGGGAGGGCCCAGAAUCCAGUGAUCAGGCUGCAGUGAUGGGCAGUGUUGGCCAUAGGACACUGGUCCAGAGCCAAUUCUUGGAGCCUAUGUGGGUUUCUCAUAACAUUUCAUCUUUGUCCUCAAAUUCCAGAGCAGUGACCAGGGACUUCAGAAGUUAUCUAGUCUUUUCUUCUCUUCUUGAUUGGUAACCCACAGUUUUCAAGGCAUAGGAAUUCUAGAUGUAAAUAGGCCUAGAGGAUGACCCAUCCUAUUUGGAGCAGGGGGACUGAGGGCUGAGCAGGGAUGUUUUGAAGAAUAGAAUGGAGCUAAUGAAGGAUUCAGUGUGUCUGAAUGUUUUAAGAGGAGUUUUAUAGCUUGAUCAGAAAACUUGGGGAAAAAUUAAAGGUAAAUACACAGAGAACUAUGCAAAUUUCUAAAAAGAGGCAUUUACCAACUAUAAGAAAAAAUGUAUGAGAAAGGAAAUGAAGCCAUAGUGUACCCUAUAGCUCAGCU
rnacentral:lncRNA from 1 species